rnacentral:lncRNA from 1 species
UUUGCGGCUCAAAGGUCUUUAUAGCAAGAAAUAGUUGGAAGCCAGAGAGGGAUUUUCAGUCCCUCAGGGAUCUUGGUUAGGGAGACUUCUCUUAAGUAUGCACAUUGCAAACGACAUCUGGGACCCGAUGCUUCUUCCCCUGGGGAGAGAGUGACAGGCCUACUCCAUCAUCCCAUUCCUGAGCUGGGGGCCCAAACCCAGCUCAUCCUUCACCCAUCCUGAUAAUCAGACCCUGCUCCUGAGUUGUGGGGCAGAUAGGAAGUGUCUACAGAGCAGUUCCACACCCUUCACAGCACCCUUCCCACUGCAUGUUUCCCAUGGGCACCCAAUAGAGCACUCCUGCACC